rnacentral:rRNA from 1 species
AUGAUGGCUCGCCGUCGGAGUGUUUUGCAUGCUCCUGUUGUUGGUGUUUGUGGUAUUCGUAAGAGAAAGGGGGAUGCCUGGUUCCCAGUGCUCACUCCUGCCAUGUCGGCUAGAAAUCGGAAGAGGCGUAAAUUACUUAGGGGCCUUCGUUGCCAUGGUGUUACAUGUACUGGUCUUCUUGGUCGGGGUUCCUGUCUUUCCGUCCUUAGUAUCUUUGUUUUGGUUGUUGUUUCUCAUAACAACAUGCAUGUAGAUCUUCGGUUUGAAGGGGACUUGCCAACUGAUUGGACUGGUUUUCCUGUCGAGGUAGUUGACAAUCGCAAAGGUACUAACUAUUAG